AAAAAACUUGAAACCCUAAAAAGGGAAAAAUGAAUAUGAAUCGGGAAUGUUAAAGUCUCGUACCAAAUAACUAUCCAAAGCAGUGUCCCUCCUUGUGGUCGGGUGAGAAAAUUGUUGUACUUAAAUCUGGUGGGUCACUUUUCUCAAAAAAUCCCAUGGGCAGUACAUAUAAUUGCUAUAUAUUAUUUUAAGUAUUUUUAAGAGAUGGACCUUGCACUUCUUGAAAGGGGAUGUUAUCUACUUCUUUGAACUUCAAAAUUAACAAUGGGCCAUUCAAAUUAAAAAUCCACACUAUUGAUCAUGAUAUAUAUUGUGGUUCAAAUUUGGCCCGAGGGUGACCACGCCGGAGGAGUCGAGGGAGCUGUCGGUGAGUGGAAGAAGAGGACGAGUGCCACUUCCCGCGCGGCGGCGGACCUGCACAAAGCCUCACCGGUGGGGUUCCAGUGAGGGCCCUCCAACGCUCAAGUUAGAGUGGAGUUUAGUAGGCCCAGUCAAAAGUUCUUUUUUAGGCGUUACCUGAUGGAGCUAUUUAUAGUCCCUGUAAAGGUGUCCAGGUGGUGGAGGUAUGGCCUGUUUCCAUCAUGGGAGGAGAUGGCGCGUAGCCAGAGCUUGCUUGUGGCGCGCGGUGCAGUCCGCUCUUGGGAACGGUGAGGUGUUGAUAGUCGUAGCGGGGUAUGGUCCCUGGUUGAUAUGUCGUGGCGUGGGCGGCAAGCAAAGCAUGGUGUGGUGAGGCUGCUGCAGGGUAUGGCCACAGCAUGUGGACGACGAGGUCGGUCUUCUAGGCUUGGCCUUCUGAGUUCGGCCUUCUGCGCUCGGCCUUCGGUCUUCUGAGCUCGGCCUUCUGAGCUCGGACUUCUGAGCUCGACCUUUUGAGGUCGGUCUUCUGAGCUCAGCCUUCUGAGAUCAGCCUUCUGAGCUCAUGGCUUCUGAGCUCAGGCUUGCUGUCGGAUUCAGGUGCUUUAAUUGUAUUUGUGGGGUGGUCCAUUUUUCCCUCCAACAAUAUAUACCAAUAAAAUAGCUAAAAUUGAGAAUCAUAUAUUUUGCUAGUCUCUAACUUAUGCACUAAAUAGGUGCAAACAAGAAUGGUUAAAAUGAUAUGAAGCCGUGUUUUGUUAUGAUCAUAGCAUUAAAAUUCAUCGACUUUCAAUCUAUACAUGAUUUAAAAUGCAUAGAUCAUGAUCAAUAAAGUGGAUUCUUAAUUUAAACUUUGUCAUAUACUUUAGCAUACUAGUACAACGAAAACCGUCCGCAUAUUAGUGUCGGCACAUGCAUGAAUCGAGUAUUGCAGUCCAACAAUCCAAGGAAAAGUAUGGAACCUAUCAGCAGCCCAUUUUAGAUUUGCUUCCUCCCCGAAUAAACCAACUUCCGAUAUGCGACAUUCCAAAAUUUGUGACCCGAUGAUUAACAACUGAAUGACUUUGCUAAUCAAUAAUGUAGGGUGGAACUCAUCAAAUGAUUCACCAUGCUCCAACUGCCGAUGACAUGGUGAUGCGGCCUGUUGCUGGAAAUUGGACCCGGGGGCAGUUUUCGGUCGAGGAGAGGGAGCGGCGGUGAGUUCUCACGGCGGGGCGGCGGUCCGUCGGCGAGCGGCGUCCUCCGUCUGGGGCGGUCGGAGAGAAGGGGCGGCAGGUCCUCGUGGCGAAGCGGCGGUCCGUCAGUUGGCGGUGCCCUCCGUUCGGGUGCCUGCACACGAACCGGUGGCCGGGUUUUCCGGCGCCGGCCCUCCGACGCUCAAGUCAGGGAGAGGGCAAAUAGUGUCGAAAAGGAGAUAAAUAAUGUCUGUAGAGUAUAUCAAUCUACCAACCCCCUCCUGAGAGGCCAAGGCUCCCUUUUAUAGGCGGGGGUUGGUUUACCUGCGAUGUAACAGGGCGAGGCCGUAGUACGGCUGUAAAGGCCCACAUUUUAUUGGGCUUGGGAUACAAUCCGACCCAUGAGAAGGUGGAGGGAGACUCUUGAUCGGGUCUUCUCCCUCCCUGUUUCAAACCCAUCUUCCUCCUCCCGAAUCCACCAGAAAAAAAAAAAAAAAACAGAGGGAAAAGGGGGAUUAAAUCUUACCUAAAUUGAACCAAACUCCAUCUAUAAAAGAUCCCUUUCUCCUCAUCCUAGGGCAUCAAUCGAGUGCCGUUCAAAAGAAAAAGGAAAGAAAAAAAAAAAGGGAUCCGUGAGAUUGGGUUGUUCGCUGCCGAUCUCGCCGGAGGAACUCGCCGGAGUCAAGGGGAACAAUCUAUUGGACGAGAGGACGCUGAGUAGAGUCCUACGCAUUCCGGUUCAUAGAUCGCCGUGAGGGCGGGUGAUUAGUUGACUGAGAUUUCAAUAAAGGAGUUGCAGGAUGCAUAGAUUUGGAUGGGAUGGGCG